rnacentral:tRNA from 1 species
GGAGGGGUGACCGAGAGGCUGAUGGUGCCGCUCUCGAAAAGCGGUGUGGGCUUGUGCUCACCGGGGGUUCGAAUCCCUCCCCCUCCGCCA